rnacentral:rRNA from 1 species
UACGUAGGGUGCGAGCGUUAAUCGGAAUUACUGGGCGUAAAGCGUGCGCAGGCGGUUCGUUGUGUCGGCGGUGAAAGCCCCGGGCUUAACCUGGGAAUGGCCGUUGAAACUGGCGAACUGGAGUGUGGCAGAGGGGGGUGGAAUUCCGCGUGUAGCAGUGAAAUGCGUAGAGAUGCGGAGGAACACCGAUGGCGAAGGCAGCCCCUGGGCUAACACUGACGCUCAGGCACGAAAGCGUGGGGAGCAAACAGG